GCUUCCUGUACUAUAGGGAGAAAUGGCGGUGGUCACCUUGAUCCCGACGCUGGCGCGGGUGAGAGAGCCGAAGAUUUAGGGUUCGGGGCGGGCGGCAGCUAGGACUGUUUCGUCCUCCUCUGUGCCGUGAAGACUGUAGGGAGAAUUCACCCAUCCCACAGAACCAGGGAAAGGUCCCCUCAAGGCGAGGCGCAUACUGCCGCUGAGCAUGCAGAAGCAAAACCAGCUCCAGAAAUAUUUGAAAAUGAAGUCAUGGAACUACUGAGAGAAUUCACCAAAAACAAAAACAAAGAGCAGAGACUGCGUGCCCCAGAUCUGGAAUAUCUCUUUGAAAAGCCUCGUUAAGCCGGGUGCCACUGCCUGUUGUGGUGGUCAUUAUAUGGAUAGAAACUGCUUCUGGUACUGACCUUGGCUUCCUGCUUCUCCUUAGACACUUGAACCUCUCCCAGGACAGACAUGUAAUGUGUUGAGACUACAUGUGUGUGUGCUACUAAGCCGGUGUGAUGAUUCAGCGGAUAAGGUGCUUUCCACCAAGCCUUAGAACCUGAGGUCAAUCCCUGGGAACCACAUGGUAGAAAGAGAGAACUGACUCCUCCAAGUUGUCCUCUGACCUCAAUAUGCAUACUAUAGCUCUCACAAAAUACAAGGGUGCUACAUACCCAGCUUGUUAGUAUUUAAUAAAGAUACUCACCUAUGGGGUUGCAGAGAUGGCCCAGU
rnacentral:lncRNA from 1 species